GAACCUGAUCUUUCAGUACAAAAGCUGAAAUAGAACCAUAAGACGAGAAGACCCUGCGGAGCUUUAAAAACACCACUUUUUAAGUUGGGGCGACUACGGAAACAAAAAAAACUUCCACGACCAGGGCUAACCCCCCAAAAAAGGACUCACACACCAACCCAGCUGAUCAACGAACCAAGUUACCCCAGGGAUAACAGCGCCAUCCUCUUCUAGAGCCCCUAUCGCCAAGAGGGUUUACGACCUCGAUGUUGGAUCAGGACCCCCUAGUGUCGCAGCCGCUACUAAAGGUUCGUUUGUUCAACGAUUAAAGUCCUACGUGAUCUGAGUUCAGACCGGAGUAAUCCAGGUCGGUUU
rnacentral:rRNA from 1 species